ACAUUUCAAAUUAAUACAAAAGCAGAAAACAUAAACAUAAAGAAGCAGGAGGACAUUUCAAUUUCACAAGGGAGAACUUUGGAGAGGAGAAAACUGAUGGAAAAAACUGCUGGAGAGGAAUCUCCUGAUUUCUCCCCUUUGAGGGGGAGACAACGGGAAUGCGACAUCGUUACGAUCAACAGGAUGGCAGAAAUGGAAUUCAGGCGGCUUUUAAAUUUAGUUAACAUGCAGCAAUUUAUGAUCAAUUGUCUGAUAGACGAACUUGAUUCACUGCGUUCACUGCUGGAGAUAUAUCUUGCUGACACCAAUGAUGCUGACACAAAUGAUGCUGCCACCACUGACACUGCCACCACUGACUCUGACACCAGUGAUGCUGCCACCACUGACUCUGACACCAGUGAUGCUGAAACCAGUGAUACCGACAGCAGCUCACAACCAACUCAAUGUGAGCAACAGGAAAACGUCGUCGCUGACCAACAGGAUGCUGAAGAAGAAAAGGGAGCGGCAGCACCCCCCGAAUCAGAGGAACAACAACCUGUGAAAGGAGAAGGCAGAGUGAAGAAAAUGAGGAGCUAUCUCAGUGACCUUUUUAAUCCUCAUGCAUUUAAUAAGUGGGAGAAAUUAGAGAAUGACGACGUAGACUAAUUUUUCAUUUGUCCUUUUGUAAUGCUUUAUAAGAAUCUGACAAUUGCAAUAUUCAGGAAAUAAAACAAUGUGCACGAUA